UAUCAAUAAGCGGAGGAAAAGAAACUAACAAGGAUUCCCCUAGUAACUGCGAGUGAAGCGGGAUAAGCUCAAAUUUAAAAUCUGGUAGCCUCGCUGCCCGAGUUGUAAUCUGGAGAAGUGCUUUCCGUGCUGGACCGUGUACAAGUCUCUUGGAACAGAGCGUCAUAGAGGGUGAGAAUCCCGUCUUUGACACGGACUACCAGUGCUUUGUGAUGCGCUCUCAAAGAGUCGAGUUGUUUGGGAAUGCAGCUCAAAAUGGGUGGUAAAUUCCAUCUAAAGCUAAAUAUUGGCGAGAGACCGAUAGCGAACAAGUACCGUGAGGGAAAGAUGAAAAGAACUUUGGAAAGAGAGUUAAACAGUACGUGAAAUUGCUGAAAGGGAAACGCUUGAAGUCAGUCGCGUUGGCCGGAACUCAGCCUGGCUUUGGCUUGGUGCAUUUUCUGGUCGACGGGUCAGCAUCAGUUUUGAUCGUCGGAUAAUGGUUGGGGGAAUGUGGCAUCUUCGGAUGUGUUAUAGCCCUCAGUCGCAUACGAUGGUUGGGACUGAGGAUCUCAGCACACCUUUAUGGUCGGGGUUCGCCCACGUUUGUGCUUAGGAUGCUGGCAUAAUGGCUUUAAACGACCCGUCUUGAAACACGGACCAAGGAGUCUAACAUGCAUGCGAGUGUUUGGGUGGAAAACCCGAGCGCGCAAUGAAAGUGAAAGUUGAGAUCCCUGUCAUGGGGAGCAUCGACGCCCGGACCAGACCUUCUGUGACGGCUCUGCGGUGGAGCAUGUAUGUUGGGACCCGAAAGAUGGUGAACUAUGCCUGAAUAGGGUGAAGCCAGAGGAAACUCUGGUGGAGGCUCGUAGCGAUUCUGACGUGCAAAUCGAUCGUCAAAUUUGGGUAUAGGGGCGAAAGACUAAUCGAACCAUCUAGUAGCUGGUUCCUGCC
rnacentral:rRNA from 1 species